rnacentral:rRNA from 1 species
GACGAACGCUGGCGGCGUGCUUAACACAUGCAAGUCGAGCGGUAAGGCCCUUUCGGGGGUACACGAGCGGCGAACGGGUGAGUAACACGUGGGUGACCUGCCCUCAGCUCUGGGAUAAGCCUGGGAAACCGGGUCUAAUACUGGAUAUGACUCCAUGACGCAUGUUGUGGGGUGGAAAGCCUUGUGCGGCUGAGGAUGGGCCCGCGGCCUAUCAGCUUGUUGGUGGGGUGANGGCCUACCAAGGCGACGACGGGUAGCCGGCCUGGGAGGGCGACCGGCCACACUGGGACUGAGACACGGCCCAGACUCCUACGGGAGGCAGCAGUGGGGAAUCUUGCGCAAUGGGCGAAAGCCUGACGCAGCGACGCCGCGUGAGGGAUGACGGCCU